UCAGCUCCUGGAAGACAUCCACAUUGCAAAAUCAAUGUGGAUACUCACUAAUUGGCGCUAUAUUAACACCAAACUGGGACACUAUCGAGUUUCAGUUGAGCCAACAGGGCCGCAAAGAUUUAAGCCCAUCUUUGACGGUAGUAAACAGCUUACACAAA